GACGAACGCUGGCGGCGUGCUUAACACAUGCAAGUCGAACGGAGUGGAGAACGGGCGAGUAACACGUGGGUGAUCUGCCUUGCACUUAGGGAUAAGCUUGGGAAACUGGGUCUAAUACAGGAUAGUGCAAGAUGAGCUCGCGGCCGAUAGGAUGGUUGGUGGGGUAAUGGCCUACAAAGGUGUCCACGGGUAGCCGGCCUGAGAGGGGUGACGACCAAAUGGGGACUGAGAUACGGCCAAGACUCCUGCGGGAGGCAGCAGUGGGGAAUAUUGCACAAUAGACGGAAGCCUGAUGCAGGGACGCCGCGUGGGGGAUGAAUGCCUUCGGAUUGUAAACUCCUUUCGACAUGGACACGAUACCUGUAUAAGAAGCACCGGCUAACUACGUGCCAGCAGCGGCGGUAAUUG
rnacentral:rRNA from 1 species